GAAUUUAAAAUUCGGCUACCGUAGAAGGCAGGAGUCCUAUGGACUUAAAAUAAUCCUGCAGAGGUGGAUGACUAAGAAAUUUUAGGUCGUUCCACUUUUGGUACGACCUUUUUUAUAUCACC
rfam:Peptostreptococcaceae bacterium oral taxon 113 str. W5053 genomic scaffold Scaffold31, whole genome shotgun sequence.